CUACGAAGGGGGCUAGCGUUGUUCGGAAUCACUGGGCGUAAAGGGCGCGUAGGCGGCUUUAUAAGUCGGGGGUGAAAGCCUGUGGCUCAACCACAGAAUUGCCUUUCGAUACUGUAUGGCUUGAGACCGGAAGAGGUAAGUGGAACUGCGAGUGUAGAGGUGAAAUUCGUAGAUAUUCGCAAGAACACCAGUGGCGAAGGCGGCUUACUGGUCCGGUUCUGACGCUGAGGCGCGAAAGCGUGGGGAGCAAACAGG
rnacentral:rRNA from 1 species